rnacentral:rRNA from 1 species
ACGGGAGGCAGCAGUGGGGAAUAUUGCACAAUGGGGGAAACCCUGAUGCAGCGACGCCGCGUGAAGGAAGAAGUAUCUCGGUAUGUAAACUUCUAUCAGCAGGGAAGAUAAUGACGGUACCUGACUAAGAAGCCCCGGCUAACUACGUGCCAGCAGCCGCGGUAAUACGUAGGGGGCAAGCGUUAUCCGGAUUUACUGGGUGUAAAGGGAGCGUAGACGGAGAAGUAAGUCUGAUGUGAAAGGCAUGGGCUCAACCUGUGGACUGCAUUGGAAACUAUUUUUCUUGAGUGCCGGAGGGGUAAGCGGAAUUCCUAGUGUAGCGGUGAAAUGCGUAGAUAUUAGGAGGAACACCAGAGGCGAAGGCGGCUUACUGGACUGUAACUGACGUUGAGGCUCGAAAGCGUGGGGAGCAAACAGGAUUAGAUACCCUGGUA